rnacentral:rRNA from 1 species
CCAGACUCCUACGGGAGGCAGCAGUAAGGGAUAUUGGUCAAUGGGGGAAACCCUGAACCAGCAACGCCGCGUGAGGGAAGACGGUUUUCGGAUUGUAAACCUCUGUCCUCUGUGAAGAUGAUGACGGUAGCAGAGGAGGAAGCUCCGGCUAACUACGUGCCAGCAGCCGCGGUAAUACGUAGGGAGCGAGCGUUAUCCGGAUUUACUGGGUGUAAAGGGGGCGCAGACGGCAGCGCAAGCCAGGAGUGAAAGCCCGGGGCCCAACCCCGGGACUGCUCUUGGAACUGCGCGGCUGGAGUGCAGGAGGGGCAGGCGGAAUUCCUGGUGUAGCGGUGAAAUGCGUAGAUAUCAGGAGGAACACCGGCGGCGAAGGCGGCCUGCUGGACCGCGACUGACGUUGAGGCUCGAAAGCGUGGGAAGCGAACAGGAUUAGAUACCCCCGUAAC